CCCCUAGACGUUCUGGGCUGCACGCGCGCUACAAUAAUACGCACAGCGAGUAUCACCGAGCUCGAAAGGGCAAGGUAAACAAUAGAAAAGGUACUGUAAUGGUUAUAGAUCCUUGUAAUUAUUGAUCUUCAACGAGGAAUUCCUAGUAAGUAUGUGUCAUCAUCACGCACUGAUUACGUCCCUGCCCUUUGUACACACCGCCCGUCGCUCCUACCGAUUGAGCGAUCCGGUGAAUGUUUUGGACUGGCGUCAGAAGCGGUUCGCUCCUGACACUACGAAAUUUUGUAAACCUUAUCGCUUAGAGGAAGGAAAAGUCGUAACA
rnacentral:rRNA from 1 species